rnacentral:rRNA from 1 species
GAUGAACGCUGGCGGCGUGCCUAAUACAUGCAAGUCGAGCGAACGGACGAGAAGCUUGCUUCUCUGAUGUUAGCGGCGGACGGGUGAGUAACACGUGGAUAACCUACCUAUAAGACUGGGAUAACUUCGGGAAACCGGAGCUAAUACCGGAUGAUAUUUUGAACCGCAUGGUUCAAAAGUGAAAGACGGUCUUGCUGUCACUUAUAGAUGGAUCCGCGCUGCAUUAGCUAGUUGGUAAGGUAACGGCUUACCAAGGCAACGAUGCAUAGCCGACCUGAGAGGGGGAUCGGCCAACAUUGAACUGGAAACCGGUCCCAGCUCCAACGGGAGGCAGCAGUAGGGAAUUUUCCCCAAUGGGCGAAAGCCUGACGGAGCAACGCCGCGUGAGUGAUGAAGGUCUUCGGAUCGUAAAACUCUGUUAUUAGGGAAGAACAUAUGUGUAAGUAACUGUGCACAUCUUGACGGUACCUAAUCAGAAAGCCACGGCUAACUACGUG